UGGGGAGAUUUUGUUUUGCUUGUGGCAGGUGCAUCAAAAGGCCAGGAUGUUAAUUAACUUAUGGCCAGAUCUUAAUUGCUGCAAGCAAGCCUCAUGGGUGAAGGUAGAGGUCUGAUCCCCAGGGAGAUGGACACAAUACCUCGUGGUGAUGAGACCAUAACCUCAAUCACCUGUGUGUUCAUCUGGGGAGUCAAUAUGAGAGUCAAGUUUUCACUAGCUUCCCCUCUGUUGGGCAAUGAUUUCCGUGCCCUUAUGGCAAUCUGAUUCACCUGCUCAAACACCUGCACUGGAUAUCCUGUCUGUUGUUGUGC
rnacentral:lncRNA from 1 species